AUCUUGGUCAAUGGGCGGGAGCCUGAACCAGCCAAGUCGCGUGAGGGAGUAAGGCCCUACGGGUCGUAAACCUCUUUUGCCGGGGAGCNNGGCGGCGGACGUGUCCGCCGGUUGAGAGUACCCGGAGAAAAAGCAUCGGCUAACUCCGUGCCAGCAGCCGCGGUAAUACGGGGGAUGCGAGCGUUAUCCGGAUUUAUUGGGUUUAAAGGGUGCGUAGGCGGGCUUUUAAGUCAGCGGUAAAAAUUCGGGGCUCAACCCCGUCCGGCCGUUGAAACUGGGGGCCUUGAGUGGGCGAGAAGAAGGCGGAAUGCGUGGUGUAGCGGUGAAAUGCAUAGAUAUCACGCAGAACCCCGAUUGCGAAGGCAGCCUUCCGGCGCCCUACUGACGCUGAGGCACGAAAGUGCGGGGAUCGAACAGG
rnacentral:rRNA from 1 species